rnacentral:rRNA from 1 species
UGAGUGAUGAAGGCCUUCGGGUUGUAAAGUACUUUCAGCGGGGAGGAAGGCGUUGUGGUUAAUAACCACAGCGAUUGACGUUACCCGCAGAAGAAGCACCGGCUAACUCCGUGCCAGCAGCCGCGGUAAUACGGAGGGUGCAAGCGUUAAUCGGAAUUACUGGGCGUAAAGCGCACGCAGGCGGUUGAUUAAGUCAGAUGUGAAAUCCCCGGGCUCAACCUGGGAACUGCAUUUGAAACUGGUCAGCUUGAGUCUCGUAGAGGGGGGUAGAAUUCCAGGU